rnacentral:lncRNA from 1 species
AUCAUCAUUGUUUGCAACAACAGUUCAGUGUUGGCCUACUAAUGUGUCCUAGAAUACACGUGCUCUCUUGCAUCACCCAGUUUUACCAUAGCUUUCCUGGCCAGGUAUUUUUGGGAUACAUUCAAUGAAAGCUCCUGACAUUUAGCAUGCUGAUAUUCUACAGUGUCUAGAUCAGUUUUCUUCCUGUCUACCACAGCACCAAAUGCAAGGCAUUGGUUUCUCUAGAGUUUUCUGUAUCUUGGACUCUAGUUGCAAGUUUACUUCUUGGUUUCUUUGCCCCAAAGUGCUACAUUAUUUUAUUAAGAACA